UCCUCAUCUUGCCUGCCUGGAAAGUCACUG
rnacentral:piRNA from 1 species